CUAGAGAUAGAGCCUUCCCCUUCGGGGGACAAAGUGACAGGUGGUGCAUGGUUGUCGUCAGCUCGUGUCGUGAGAUGUUGGGUUAAGUCCCGCAACGAGCGCAACCCUUAAGCUUAGUUGCCAGCAUUAAGUUGGGCACUCUAAGUUGACUGCCGGUGACAAACCGGAGGAAGGUGGGGAUGACGUCAAAUCAUCAUGCCCCUUAUGAUUUGGGCUACACACGUGCUACGAUGGACAAUACAAAGGGCAGCUAAACCGCGAGGUCAUGCAAAUCCCAUAAAGUUGUUCUCAGUUCGGAUUGUAGUCUGCAACUCGACUACAUGAAGCCGGAAUCGCUAGUAAUCGUAGAUCAGCAUGCUACGGUGAAUACGUUCCCGGGUCUUGUACACACCGCCCGUCACACCACGAGAGUUUGUAACACCCGAAGCCGGUGGAGUAACCAUUUAUGGAGCUAGCCGUCGAAGGUGGGACAAAUGAUUGGGGUGAAGUCGUAACAAGGUAG
rnacentral:rRNA from 1 species